AGGGAAAGCGGGGGGCAGGCUUAACACAUGCAAGUCGAGCGGUAGCACAAGAGAGCUUGCUCUCUGGGUGACGAGCGGCGGACGGGUGAGUAAUGUCUGGGAAACUGCCUGAUGGAGGGGGAUAACUACUGGAAACGGUAGCUAAUACCGCAUAACGUCGCAAGACCAAAGAGGGGGACCUUCGGGCCUCUUGCCAUCAGAUGUGCCCAGAUGGGAUUAGCUAGUAGGUGGGGUAAUGGCUCACCUAGGCGACGAUCCCUAGCUGGUCUGAGAGGAUGACCAGCCACACUGGAACUGAGACACGGUCCAGACUCCUACGGGAGGCAGCAGUGGGGAAUAUUGCACAAUGGGCGCAAGCCUGAUGCAGCCAUGCCGCGUGUGUGAAGAAGGCCUUCGGGUUGUAAAGCACUUUCAGCGAGGAGGAAGGUGGUGAACUUAAUACGUUCAUCAAUUGACGUUACUCGCAGAAGAAGCACCGGCUAACUCCGUG
rnacentral:rRNA from 1 species